ensembl:lncRNA
AAAGGAGUGAUUAUCAAGCUGGACAGGGUCUAGAAAAGCUUCAGGGAAGUUGAGGUUUUUGAGCAGGGCCUGAGAGAAGAUCGUGGCUGAUGCAAGCGUGGGAAGGAGAGAGGAUGGCAGGAAUAUAGAACACCCGGAGGGAAGUGGGAAGUACAAAUGUGUGUGCAGGGACAGCGAGUCACGGCUGGGUGGGCACCCAUGCCAUGGAACAGCUUGAUGCCUGGAGAGCAGCACCCAGAAACAGCUUUCAGCCCAGAUUGCUAAUUAGAAUUUUUUCACUGUGUGUGAAAUUUCCAGGAUCAGCAUGGAAUGUCAUCUGCGUCUCCUGCAGGCAUCUCCUCCCAAACACGGCUUCCUAAACCUGUCUUGCCAGUCAAGUCCCACAGCUGCUCUGCCAAGUUAUACAGGCUUCCUCUGAAAAGCUGUUCUGGACUUGCAUGUGCUUGGAGGAACGAAAGCAAGGAAAGUGAAACCCUCCACUUGUUUCCAGGAUCUCUCAUCCUGAAAUUGUCUCCUCAGCCCCAUGCCCAGUCCACUCAGUUGGAGCUUUCUCGGAAUCCAUUGCUGAUGAUGCCCCUUGGAGAAUUCUGAUGAUUUGGGGUGAGGAGAGGCACCACAUCUGGAAGCAUCUAAAGUCACCAGCCCAUGAGAUGCAAGAGCAGUGCUGAAGAAGAGAUAGAAGAAGGGUGUCUCCCACGUUUAGCCCAUGAGCCUCAGAGCAGCUCUGCUUAUACCAGUGUCCUCAACCUCCUCAUAACAGCGGCCCCUCUGGCUUUCCUUCUAAGUCCUCUGUCUGCAUGAGGAACCCAUGAGGGACUGACCCUCUGCCAUACCCUCCAUCCUUCAGUCUCAGCUUCUCUUCCUUCCUAGGCAACCCCACCAUCGACACCUUCCAUACUCUCUGGCCAGCAAAGGCCCAGUGCAUGUCACUGCCUGUAGACAGGAGCUCAGAGUUCCACAGAUGAGCUAUCUGUCCAAUCAAAAGCAAACCUCACAUCUCUCUGAAUCCCACUUUGGAAGCAGCUACUGCACCUUGCAAUGUGAAUUUUCUAAUUCCAGAUUCUCUGUCCUGUUGUAACGUAUGUGUCAAACCAUGUGUUUCCAUUUUAAGGCUUGAAAAAUAUGGUCAGCGUGGCUCUGGGGGCUUGCACUGCCCUUAAGUCCCUUCUGAGUCAUGCCCAGCUGUCUUAGAGCACAGGGCAGGCUCCUACACCUUCCCUGCCAGAUGCCUUCUGGCCAAGUUGGGUGCUGGAGGGAAGACCUGUGUCUCUCAAACACCCUCGUUGCUCUCUUUCUCAGCCAGAGAGCGCUAUGUGCCCAGGAGGAAAAAGUUGACCCCAGUCCGAGGCCCAACAAUCAAGUUUUGUUUAGGAUAUAAAGCCGUUGAAUUGGGCUUAUUUAUUUUCUCUGCACUUGUGUUUCCUAAGUUUUUCCACAUUAUUUCUAAUUUGGGCUGUUAGGGGAAAAAUUAAAAACCACUGAUAAUGGAAUAUCUUGGUGGUUACUGCAUUAAAAACCAGCUGGCUAAAGUAGGUUUGGAAGAUCUUAGAAGGCAAUCUCUGACUCAAACACUGUGCAAAUCAAAACUGGGAGAGUCCACAGGCCAAGGAGCAGCUGAAACACUAAAUGCACUCCCUCCCUAGUGAAAACACAUGUGGACUCAUGUGAACGGCAUCCUCUCGCCUCCAUCUGCUCCUGGAAAUAAUGAAAUAGAGCGAUGGGAACUGCUCUUUGGAUUGGGGACCCCCAGGCAUCCCUAACCUGUGGCCCUAUCUGUGACCCUUUAUCUAUCUGCCUUGCUCAAAGCUAUGUUUUCAUGAGCACAUGGUAAGGCCUUAAUGGAUAUUUGUUGAAUAAAUGAAGGAAUUAGGAAUGGGAUAGAAUACAUUUCAGCCGACUCAAAUGCUCUUUUGGAGAGUUAGAUAUAUGUGUUCGAAUGGGUGGAUAUAUAAAGAAAUAGAUGAAUAAUGAAAUUGGCACUCAUUGAGUGAUAUGGUUGAUAGAACACCGACACCAUCGCUCUCGUUGACAAUGUGUGAUUGAAUACACAUUUACAUCUUUCCUAACCUCCAGAAAGUGUCCCCUCCACAAACACACAGACAUUUGUGUGUCUACUAAAAUCAUCUACAGAUGGUACAGGUGCUAAGAGAGAAGAAAGAGGAAGAGUGGAUUCUAAGUGCUCCCUUUCGCUUAACAGUUUACCUUCAGAUCAAUAGGAGUUUUGGUACACCUCGAGGUCCUAAGACUGGGAAGAUAAUUUCUAGCAGCGUAUACUUGACAACAUGUCCUUAUUGCAAUGAAUUAUGUACUAGCAAGGCAUCCAUCACCACUCCCUAGAAAGUCUGACCAAUUGGUUUCAAGACUUAGAUGAGGCGUAUUUUCAACCAGCCAUGCCCAUUUGUAUGCACCUAUUAAGUAUAACCCACAUAAAUUUGAGUGUCCUCAUGGCCCUUUCUUUCAGCUCUUGUAUAGUCAAAAGAAAUAAACAUU